rnacentral:rRNA from 1 species
AUUGAACGCUGGCGGCAUGCUUUACACAUGCAAGUCGAACGGUAACAGGCCUGCGGGUGCUGACGAGUGGCGCACGGGGGAGUAAUGCAUCGGAACGUAGCCAGAGGUGGGGGAGAACGCAGGGAAAGCUGUGCUAAUACCGCAUGUGAUCAGAGGAUGAAAGCGGGGGACCGAGCAGCAAUGUUUGGCGUCGCGCGUUUGGAGCGGGCGAUGUCGGAUUAGCUAGUGGGUGGGGGAGAGGCCUACCAAGGCGGCGAUCCGUAGGUGGUCUGAUAGGACGGCCAGGCACAUUGGGACUGAGACUGGUCCCAGACUCCUGCAGGAGGCCGCAGUGCGGAAUUUUAGACGAUGCGCGCAAGCCUGAUCCUGCAAUGCCGGGUGAGGGAAGAAGGCCUUCCGGUUGUAGACCGCUUUUGGCUGGAGCGAAGCGAUGUCCGCUAAUACCGAGCGCUAAUGACGGUACCUACAGAAUAAGCACCGGCUAACUACGUG